AUUGAACGCUGGCGGCAGGCUUAACACAUGCAAGUCGAACGGUAACAGAGAAUAGCUUGCUAUUUUGCUGACGAGUGGCGGACGGGUGAGUAAUGCUUGGGAACUUGCCCUAACGUGGGGGACAACAGUUGGAAACGACUGCUAAUACCGCAUAAUGUCUUCGGACCAAAGGUGGCCUCUAUUUAUAAGCUAUCGCGUUAGGAUGGGCCCAAGUGGGAUUAGCUAGUUGGUGAGGUAAUGGCUCACCAAGGCGACGAUCCCUAGCUGGUCUUAGAGGAUGACCAGCCACACUGGAACUGAGACACGGUCCAGACUCCUACGGGAGGCAGCAGUGGGGAAUAUUGCACAAUGGAGGAAACUCUGAUGCAGCCAUGCCGCGUGUGUGAAGAAGGCUUUCGGGUUGUAAAGCACUUUCAGCGAGGAGGAAAA
rnacentral:rRNA from 1 species